GUCCCUGUAGCGCAAUGGAUAGCGCGUUGGACUUCUAAUCCAAAAGUCAUGGCUUCAAGUCCCACCUGGGAUA
rnacentral:tRNA from 1 species